rnacentral:rRNA from 1 species
ACUCCUACGGGAGGCAGCAGUGGGGAAUAUUGCACAAUGGGGGAAACCCUGAUGCAGCCAUGCCGCGUGUGUGAAGAAGGCCUUCGGGUUGUAAAGCACUUUCAGUAGGGAGGAAGGUAGUGUAGUUAACACCUGCAUUAUUUGUACGUUACCUACAGAAGAAGCACCGGCUAACUCCGUGCCAGCAGCCGCGGUAAUACGGAGGGUGCGAGCGUUAAUCGGAAUUACUGGGCGUAAAGCGCAUGCAGGCGGCCUGUUAAGUCAGAUGUGAAAGCCCGGGGUCUUAACCUCGGAAUUGCUAUUUGAAACGUGGCGAGGCUAGAGUCUUGUAGAGGGGUUAGUAAUUUCGAGGUGUAGCGGUAGAAAUGCGUAGAGAUC